rnacentral:rRNA from 1 species
GGUCAGGAUGAACGCUAGCUACAGGCUUAACACAUGCAAGUCGCGGGGCAGCAUGUAUCCGGGCAACCGGGUAUGAUGGCGACCGGCGCACGGGUGCGUAACGCGUAUCCAACCUGCCCGCAAGACGGGGACAGCCCGGCGAAAGUCGGAUUAAUCCCCGAUGUGGUGUGACGAGGGCAUCUGAGUGACACCAAAGGGAGCGAUCCGCUUGCGGAUGGGGAUGCGUACGAUUAGGUAGACGGCGGGGUGAUGGCCCACCGUGCCGACGAUCGUUAGGGGUUCUGAGAGGAAGGUCCCCCACACUGGUACUGAGACACGGACCAGACUCCUACGGGAGGCAGCAGUGAGGAAUAUUGGUCAAUGGGCGGAUGCCUGAACCAGCCAAGUAGCGUGCAGGAACCGACGGCCCUACGGGUUGUAAACUGCUUUUAUGCGGGGAUAACAGGGUGCACGUGUGCGCCUUUGCAGGUACCGCAUGAAUAAGGACCGGCUAAUUCCGUGCCAGCAGCAGC